UGAUGUCUUCUUAAUAUGUUCAAAUGCAAUGCAAUAUAAUGCCCCAGAUACUGUUUACUUUCGGCAGGCAAGGUCUAUUCAAGAUCUGGCAAAAAGAGAUUUCAAUAAUUUGAGGCAUGAAGGGGAGGAUGGUGAACUGCAACCUAAGGUUGUUCGAAGAGGCCGGCCCCCAAGCAAAAAUCUUAAGAAGUCUGAAGAGAGUUCUCCACCCCAAAGCAAAAACCUAAAAAUGUCUAUUGAGGGUUCACCUAUUGAUUGUAUUGCUCCUGAGAUUUCUUCAGGCGCCACUCUUGCUAGUGGAGAGGAAAAAGUCGG
rnacentral:misc_RNA from 1 species